UUGUCUCUCUUGAGUGGAUCCUGAGUACGACGGAGCACGUGAAAUUCCGUCGGAAUCUGGGAGGACCAUCUCCUAAGGCUAAAUACUCUCUAGUGACCGAUAGUGAACCAGUACCGUGAGGGAAAGGUGAAAAGCACCCCGGAAGGGGAGUGAAAUAGAACCUGAAACCGUGUGCUUACAAGUAGUCAGAGCCCGUUAAUGGGUGAUGGCGUGCCUUUUGUAGAAUGAACCGGCGAGUUACGAUUUGAUGCAAGGUUAAGCAGUAAAUGUGGAGCCGUAGCGAAAGCGAGUCUGAAUAGGGCGUUUAGUAUUUGGUCGUAGACCCGAAACCAGGUGAUCUACCCUUGGUCAGGUUGAAGUUCAGGUAACACUGAAUGGAGGACCGAACCGACUUACGUUGAAAAGUGAGCGGAUGAACUGAGGGUAGCGGAGAAAUUCCAAUCGAACCUGGAGAUAGCUGGUUCUCUCCGAAAUAGCUUUAGGGCUAGCCUCAAGUGAUGAUUAUUGGAGGUAGAGCACUGUUUGGACGAGGGGCCCCUCUCGGGUUACCGAAUUCAGACAAACUCCGAAUGCCAAUUAAUUUAACUUGGGAGUCAGAACAUGGGUGAUAAGGUCCGUGUUCGAAAGGGAAACAGCCCAGACCACCAGCUAAGGUCCCAAAAUAUAUGUUAAGUGGAAAAGGAUGUGGCGUUGCCCAGACAACUAGGAUGUUGGCUUAGAAGCAGCCAUCAUUUAAAGAGUGCGUAAUAGCUCA
rnacentral:rRNA from 1 species